rnacentral:rRNA from 1 species
AUACGUAGGUGACAAGCGUUAUCCGGAUUUACUGGGCGUAAAGGGCGUGUAGGCGGUCUUGCAAGUCAGAAGUGAAAUUCCUGAGCUCAACUCGGGCGCUGCUUCUGAAACUGCAGGACUUGAGUGCUGGAGGGGAUAGCGGAAUUCCUAGUGGAGCGGUAAAAUGCGCAGAUAUUAGGAAGAACACCGGGGGCGAAGGCGGCUAUCAUGACAGUAACUGACGCUGAGGCGCGAAAUCGUGGGGAGCAAACAGGAUUAGAUACCCUGGUAGUCUACGCCGUAAACGAUGAGUGCUAAGUGGUGGAGGGUUUCCGCCCUUCAGUGCUGCAGCUAACGCAUUAAGCACUCCGCCUGGGGAGUACGGCCGCAAGGCUGAAACUCAAAGGAAUUGGCGGGG